rnacentral:rRNA from 1 species
UUGAGUAAGAAUUUAAUUUUGGUUCAGAUUGAACGUUUUUCAGUAGUUUUAAGACAUGCGAAUCGUUAUUUCCUAAAUUUAAUUAAAUUAAGAAAUAAGGUGUAAAGGUGAGUAUGGUAAAUAAGAUACCCUAUAGUCUCUCUAAAUAGGAGAUAAAAAAUUAAAAUGUUUACUUGUAUUUUAAUUAAUAAAGGAAAUUUUCUGUUAUAGGAUUCUAUUUAUUUUGUUUAGGUAGUUGGUGGGGUAAAAGCCUACCAAGCCGAUGAUCAAAAGCCAUAUUUGAUAGAAUAAAUGGCCACAUUGGGAAUGAAAUCUCCCUAGUAGCGUUUUGCUACCAGCAGUCAAGAAUAUUAGUCAAUGCUCGCAAGAGUGAACUAGCUAACUGAAAUCAAUCUUUUUUCAGUUUUAUUUGUAGGAAAGUUACAAGGAUUAGUUUACUAAUUUUAGUAAUUGAAUAUAAAUAAACAAAAUAAAAUAAAAAAGUAAGAUAAGGUAGAGGAUAAUAAUGAUAUUACUUUACUAUAGUGUUGUCAAAAAUUGGUGCCAGAAGACUCGGUAAGACCAAAAACGCAAACGUUAGUCAUCUUUAUCAGGCGUAAAGGGUUAGUAGGCGGCCUUAAUUACCUGUCAAAGUAGAUGAAUAAUCUAUUAACAAUUAAUACAAUAUAGCUUCGCUGUAUUUGUAUGACAGGCUGAACUUAAGUGCUAGAGUCGAAUAGAGGUUAUAUUAAAUAAUACUUAAACAAGGGGUCAUAUCCUGAAAGAUUAAGUAGAAUACUAAGAGCGAAGGCUUUUUUUCCACUACCGAACAAUAAAACUGACGCUGAGGAACUAAGGGGAGGAUAGGAAAAAGGAUUAGAUACCCAAUUACCCCUCUCUGUCAACGAUGAAUGGUAAUUUCUAGUUAUUUGUAAGAUAUAUUACUAUAAUAGUUUUAUAAUUACAAUACUUAUUAGUUUUAAUGUUAACACGUUAACCAUUCCGCCUUGUGAGUACGAUUGCAAAAUUGAAAACAAAAAAAUUAGUCGGUUUCGGAGCGAACGAAGUGAAGCAUGUUAUUUAAUACGAUAAUCCGCGUAAAACCUUACCAGUUGCUUGCAUAUCUAUCUUACAUUAGGAAAUAAACUCUUUUGAGUGGAAAUACUUUUGUUUAAGAAGCAUUUUAUGAAAGAAUUUAACCAUUAAUUCGUUACAUUGAUAACCUUCUUGACUUUUUAGAAAUAAAUUGUGAUUUUUAUCUUUCUAAUCUUUUUUUCCUUACAGUUAAAAGGAUUAGUUAUGGGAAGGGAGGAAGUGUUUCUAUAUAAAUAGCUAAGAUACAGGUGUUGCAUGGCUGUCUUUAGUCCGUGUCGUGAGAACUUAGGUUAAUUCCGCUAACGGACGCAAUCCCUUUUGUUAAUUUUAAGUAUAUACUUAACAAAUAAUGUUUCCUAUAGGGUUACAUUUGGGGCUAAGGCAAGUCUUUAUGGCCCUCAUGCUCUGGGCUAUCAACGUGCCACAAGAACUUUUACAAAGUGAAGCAAGACUCUUCUAUCGUAUCUAAUUUUUUCGGUUAGAUAUUAUUAUUGAUCUAUCUUAGAACUUUAAUAAGAAAUUAAGGAGGAGCUAAUCACAAAAGAAAGUUAUUUUAUAAAUAAUAUCAGUCGGAUUGUUGUCUGCAAUUCGGCAACAUGAAGAAGGAAUUUCGAGUAAUCGUUGAUCAUAACCGCAACGGUGAAAUAAGCCUCCGUUAUGAACUAACCGUCUGUCGCUGGGAAGAAGCUUAUAAUAAAGGAAAUUAAAAUGGAUUAAUUCUUUUUCAAAGAUUAGUUUGCUAUUUUAAAAGUAAAAUUUUGCUAUAGAUUUAACAUCUUUGUUAAGAUUAGUCUGUAUAAAUCAGUUUAUUUGAGUAACAUCUCAAAAGUCAUAGCAGGGUAGCCGUACUGGAAAGUGCUGCUGGAUAAUACAAAAC